GCCUAAUUUCCCACUUUUUAAAAUAUCUUUUAUUUAUUUUGCAUAGUCUUUAAAAGGAUGGCUAUUCUAAUAAAGAAUGGUUUGAUCCCUUUGGAACAUCACCUUUUUUUAUGAUUAUCCUUUGCAGUCCGGCAUUUUCUCUCUCAGGAACCUUAAUUAGGUUGUUUGUAAUUAUGCUAUAGUUCUCAAUAGGUUGUUUGUAAUGACGCUACAAUAGACGCCACAAAGUUUCUGGAUCUAUUCAUAAUUUAAACACUAAAGAAAAUAUAUCUAAAAUUGAAGCCAGGCCCUAAUAAGAUCUGAAACUGAAGUUGGGAAUGGCAAACCUUGCGAUUUGAUCAAUCAAUAAACCAGAACCGGCGUAUUUGACUGAAUAUGACGAAAACAUCCAACGCCAUCUCUCGGCGAUCAGAAGAACCAACAACAGAUUAUGCAGAAAGAGUUGAAGGCUUUUUGACCCAAGUUGGAAUCUCCGCAUCUAUUCCUGAAAGCAACAAAUCCACGGAUUUCUAUUCCAAUCUAAUUCGCGAUCUGCUCAAGGUCGACCUUGUCCAAGCCGGUCACAUCUCCUGCGUCUUCUCUGUCCUACCCUUUGUCGCCGUAAUCUUUCCCAUCUUUCCAGUUCUUCUGUUCUUCUUUUCAGUUCUUCAGUUCUUUUUGGUUUUGUUGGAGUUGAUGAGAUUUAGUA
rnacentral:misc_RNA from 1 species